UACGUAGGGGGCAAGCGUUGUCCGGAAUCAUUGGGCGUAAAGAGCGUGUAGGCGGCCUGAUAAGUCGGCUGUGAAAGUCAAGGGCUCAACCCUUGAAUGCCGGCCGAUACUGUCAGGCUAGAGUCCGGAAGAGGCGAGUGGAAUUCCUGGUGUAGCGGUGAAAUGCGCAGAUAUCAGGAGGAACACCUAUGGCGAAGGCAGCUCGCUGGGACGGUACUGACGCUGAGACGCGAAAAGCGUGGGGGAGCGAACAGG
rnacentral:rRNA from 1 species